GACGAACGCUGGCGGCGUGCCUAAUACAUGCAAGUCGAACGCUUCUUUCCUCCCGAGUGCUUGCACUCAAUUGGAAAGAGGAGUGGCGGACGGGUGAGUAACACGUGGGUAACCUACCCAUCAGAGGGGGAUAACACUUGGAAACAGGUGCUAAUACCGCAUAACAGUUUAUGCCGCAUGGCAUAAGAGUGAAAGGCGCUUUCGGGUGUCUCUGAUGGAUGGACCCGCGGUGCAUUAGCUAGUUGGUGAGGUAACGGCUCACCAAGGCCACGAUGCAUAGCCGACCUGAGAGGGUGAUCGGCCACACUGGGACUGAGACACGGCCCAGACUCCUACGGGAGGCAGCAGUAGGGAAUCUUCGGCAAUGGACGAAAGUCUGACCGAGCAACGCCGCGUGAGUGAAGAAGGUUUUCGGAUCGUAAAACUCUGUUGUUAGAGAAGAACAAGGACGUUAGUAACUGAACGUCCCCUGACGGUAUCUAACCAGAAAGCCACGGCUAACUACGUG
rnacentral:rRNA from 1 species